CAAUCCCAUUUAUGCUUUCUUCUUGAGUUAUGUCUCUUGUGGAGAUGGUUAAUUGGUGACCCUUCUCCUUUGCCCCCAUUCCCAAAAGAUAUGUCUACCUCUCAACCUGCAGAGCCUAUGAAUAUUGCCUUAUCCAGAAAAAGGGUCUUUGGAGAUAUAAUUAUGUUUCUUCAGAAGAGGAGCUUAUCUUGGAUUAUUCAAGUAGCUUCCAAAUGCAAUGACAGAUCUUUGUAAGAGAUGCAUAGAGGAGACAGAUGUACAGGAGGAAGCCAAGUGAAGACAGAGGCAAAGAUGAGUGAUCCAGUCACAAGCUUCUGACUGCCAUCAGAAGCUGGAAGAGAGAUGGGGUCUCGCUAUGUUGCCCAGUCUGGUCUCAAACUCCUAGCCUCAAGUGAUCCUUCUCCCUUGGCCUCCCAAAGUGCUGGGAUUACAAGCAUGAGCCACGAUGGCUGGCCCUGAAUUUGGACUUCCGGCCAAAAAACUUUAUGGAGGCUUGUGUUGAUGUGGAGGUGCAGUGAUGUGGAAGUGGCCUGAGAUGCUGAGCUCACAGGGUCUCUCCCUGUUGCCUAGGCUGGAGUGCAGUGGCACAAUAACAACUCACCGCAGCCUCGACCUCCUGGACGCAAGUGAUCAUAGUUUUAUUUCUAUGCCUUCUGAAGGACUAGAUACAGAAGACAGUAAUAGCUUGAGCCUGAGAUGGGAAAAAACUUUCUUAAAAUCAAAGAAAAUUCAUGAUGGCCAGAAUUUACACACUGCUUCAAUUCUUUUCAUCUAUAUUUUCAAAAAGAUACUUGGUCAUACUUUGCAAAACUUGUCACAGAAAAGAAAUUAUAGUCUGGAUAAACAAAGAGUAAAUUGUAUUCACCUCUUUUUGGACUAUGGUUGACUGGAUAAAUGAGACCACAGGAAACAAAACUGCGGAGAAAGGGGACUUCUUUCUGUCUAGACAGAAGCUGAAGGAUUGCCGAAGUUUUGAAGCUAUCACAGCCAAGCCUCAUCUCCAGCCAAGUGGUUAGCAGACUCCCUUGUGGCAGUUUUACCAAUUGGAUUUUUAAUGUUUCAUUCCAUUUUAGCUCAGCUUCUAGGACAGAAUCUGUGAUAUAGAGGUGAAUAAUAUAUUCAAAUGAAUGAGGACGACAGCUCUGUCAACAGUUCAGAGAGUCCCAGAAAGGGCCUACUGUCUUCUCAUGGUUUUACAUUUUCCUGCCUGCCACCCAUCCUGCAGCGUCUUCCCUGACACAGCCUGAGCUUCUUUAGCACUCCCACCCAAAUUUCCUUUUAUUUCUGUGCCUUUGGCAAUUGCUUUUCCUCUACUUGCCUCCAAUAUGAGGCAGAAAUGUUAAUAUGAUCUCUUACUCUCCUCUCCAGUUCUCUUUGUUUCUCAGAACAUUCUAGAGAGCAUCUAGUAAUAGUGACAGCCCAUGUCUCUGUAUUCCUUGCUUUCCUUCAUCUGAUUAAAUAAUACUGAGGAACAGAAUCUUGGUCCCUCUUGAGUUUGUCCAAAUACCAUGUACAGGCCAGCAUGGCAGCUUCCACCCUUUCUUUGAGGCAGUCAGGUUGGAGGGGGUCCCCUGGAGAAACUCCAACCAGCCUGCCAAUGCGGUGGAGCCUC